rnacentral:rRNA from 1 species
AAACUGCGAAUGGCUCAUUAAAUCAGUUAUCGUUUAUUUGAUAGUACCUUACUACUUGGAUAACCGUGGUAAUUCUAGAGCUAAUACAUGCUAAAAACCCCGACUUCGGGAGGGGUGUAUUUAUUAGAUAAAAAACCAACGCCCUUCGGGGCUCCCUGGUGAUUCAUGAUAACUUAACGAAUCGCAUGGCCUUGCGCCGGCGAUGGUUCAUUCAAAUUUCUGCCCUAUCAACUUUCGAUGGUAGGAUAGUGGCCUACCAUGGUAUCAACGGGUAACGGGGAAUUAGGGUUCUAUUCCGGAGAGGGAGCCUGAGAAACGGCUACCACAUCCAAGGAAGGCAGCAGGCGCGCAAAUUACCCAAUCCCGACACGGGGAGGUAGUGACAAUAAAUACUGAUACAGGGCUCUUUUGGGUCUUGUAAUUGGAAUGAGUACAAUUUAAAUCCCUUAACGAGGAACAAUUGGAGGGCAAGUCUGGUGCCAGCAGCCGCGGUAAUUCCAGCUCCAAUAGCGUAUAUUAAAGUUGUUGCAGUUAAAAAGCUCGUAGUUGAACCUUGGGCCUGGCUGGCCGGUCCGCCUCACCGCGUGCACUGGUCCGGCCGGGCCUUUCCUUCUGGGGAGCCGCAUGCCCUUCACUGGGCGUGUUGGGGAACCAGGACUUUUACUUUGAAAAAAUUAGAGUGUUCAAAGCAGGCCUUUGCUCGAAUACAUUAGCAUGGAAUAAUAGAAUAGGACGUGUGGUUCUAUUUUGUUGGUUUCUAGGACCGCCGUAAUGAUUAAUAGGGAUAGUCGGGGGCAUCCGUAUUCAAUUGUCAGAGGUGAAAUUCUUGGAUUUAUUGAAGACGAACUACUGCGAAAGCAUUUGCCAAGGAUGUUUUCAUUAAUCAGUGAACGAAAGUUAGGGGAUCGAAGACGAUCAGAUACCGUCGUAGUCUUAACCAUAAACUAUGCCGACUAGGGAUCGGACGAUGUUAUUAUUUUGACUCGUUCGGCACCUUACGAGAAAUCAAAGUCUUGG